CUUGGUGACAAUAGCAUUGUGGUCCCACCUGAUCCCAUCCCGAACUCAGAAGUGAAACGCAAUCGCGCCGAUGGUAGUGUGGGGUCUCCCCAU
rnacentral:rRNA from 1 species